rnacentral:rRNA from 1 species
UACCAGCUCUCCGAGUGGUAGGGAUGUUUAUCGGGCUUAAAGCGUCCGUAGCCGGCUUAGCAAGUCUCCUGUUAAAUUCAGCGACCUAAUCGUUGAGCCGCGGGAUAUACUACUAGGCUAGGAGGCGGGAGAGGUCAACGGUACUUCCGGGGUAGGGGUGAAAUCCUAUAAUCCCGGGAGGACCACCAGUGGCGAAGGCUGUUGACUAGAACGCGCUCGACGGUGAGGGACGAAAGCUGGGGGAGCGAACCGGAUUAGAUACCCGGGUAGUCCCAGCUGUAAACGAUGCGAGCUAGGUGUUGGGGUGGCUACGUGCCACUUCAGUGCCGCAGGGAAGCCAUUAAGCUCGCCGCCGUGGGGGAGUACGGCCGCAAGGGACUUAAAAACGUUAAAGGAAUUUGGGGCGGGGGAGCACCAGAAGGGGUGAAGGCCUGCGGUUAC